UAUGGUGAAUUUCAGGAGUUGCAGGAAUGCCAUUUCCAGAUGGAUAAUUAUAGUAUGACGAUGCAAGUAUCCCCCAUGUGAUUCUGUGGGUUCCUGUUGCUCCAUCACCAACAAAACAGAGCUGGAUUGAAUAUUGGUUCUUCUGUUUGUAGGUGUUUUAUUAUUUUGAAGCUUAUGUUCCUCUUGAUGUUUGCUGGAUUCAUAUAUUCCUCCCCUGAGUAGCAAUUAUAUUUUUGUUGUCAUUAUCAACAAUCUUUAGUUUGGCCGGCCUAACAGCUUGCGUGGUAGCUCUAAAUUUGUCUUCUUAGUUAUAUAAUGCUUACACUUAUUGCUAAGGAUAUUGUGAAUUUAAAUCUCGGGCGCCUGGCUGACCAAGUCGUAUGGUGCCACCAA